rnacentral:tRNA from 1 species
UAAGUAAAAGCCAAAGUUUGAGGCGCUUGUUUGUUAAUCAAGACAUUGUGAUAGUAAAUCACUUGCUUAG